CAAAGAAUAGUUUAAAGUAAAAUUCUAACUUUGGGAGUUAGGGGUGGGGGUUAAAGUCCCUCUUCUUUGA
rnacentral:tRNA from 1 species